rnacentral:rRNA from 1 species
AGUGAACGCUGGCGGCGUGCUUAACACAUGCAAGUCGAACGCGAAAGUGUAGCAAUACAUGAGUAGAGUGGCGAACGGGUGAGUAAGAUGUGGGUAAUCUAGCUUUCAGAGGGGGAUAACCCGGGGAAACCUGGGCUAAAACCGCGUAACAUAUUGGGGUUUAAGACCCUAAUAUCAAAACAUGGCCUCUAUUUAUAAGCUAUGGCUGAGAGAUGAGCCCACAUCCUANCACGCUUGUUGGUGGGUAACGGCCCACCAAGGCGACGACGGGUAGCCGG